rnacentral:rRNA from 1 species
GCUGACGAGAAAAACCUCGUAGGGAGUCAUUUGGACAACCGUACCGCAAACCGACACUGGUAGGUGGGUAGAAGAUACCAAGGCGUUCGAGAGAACCCUCGCUAAGGAACUCGGCAAAAUAACCCCGUAACUUCGGGAGAAGGGGUCCCACCGCAAGGUGGGCGCAUUGAAGAGGCCCAGGCGACUGUUUACCAAAAACACAGGACUCUGCAAACUCGCAAGAGGAAGUAUAGGGUCUGACGCCUGCCCGGUGCCGGAAGGUUAACAGGAGGGGUUAGCUCGCAAGGGCGAAGCUCUGAAUCGAAGCCCCGGUAAACGGCGGCCGUAACGAUAACGGUCCUAAGGUAGCGAAAUUCCUUGUCGGGUAAGCUCCGACCUGCACGAAUGGCGUAACGAUCUGGGCGCUGUCUCGGCGAGGGGCUCGGCGAACUUGAGAUACCGGUGAAGACGCCGGUUACCUGCAACUAGACGGAAAGACCCUGUGCACCUUUACUAUAGCUUGACAGUGAGUUUUGGUGAUACAUGUGUAGGAUAGGUGGGAGGCUAUGAGACGUGGACGCUAGUUUGCGUGGAGCCGACCUUGAAAUACCACCCUUGUCUUACUGGGACUCUAACUUAUUCCCGUAAUCCGGGAAGAGGACACUGUCUGGUGGGUAGUUUGACUGGGGCGGUCGCCUCCCAAAGAGUAACGGAGGCGUCCAAAGGUUCCCUCAGGCUGGACGGAAACCAGCCAUCGAGUGCAAAGGCAUAAGGGAGCUUGACUGUGAGACAAACGAGUCGAGCAGGUACGAAAGUAGGGCUUAGUGAUCCGGUGGCGCUGUAUGGAAAGGCCAUCGCUCAACGGAUAAAAGGUACGCCGGGGAUAACAGGCUUAUCGCGUCCAAGAGUUCACAUCGACGACGCGGUUUGGCACCUCGAUGUCGACUCAUCGCAUCCUGGGGCUGAAGUAGGUCCCAAGGGUUCGGCUGUUCGCCGAUUAAAGCGGUACGAGAGUUGGGUUCAGAACGUCGUGAGACAGUUCGGUCCCUAUCUGUUGCAGGCGCAGGAGAUUUGAGGGGAUCUGUCCUUAGUACGAGAGGACCGGGAUGGACGGACCUCUAGUGUUCCGGUUGUCAUGCCAAUGGCAAUGCCGGGUAGCUAUGUCCGGAAGGGAUAACCGCUGAAGGCAUCUAAGCGGGAAGCCUACCCCAAGAUUAGAUCUCACGGGGAGUAAUCCCCCUAAAGGCCCGUGGUAGACUACCACGUCGAUAGGCUGGAGGUGUAAGCGCAGUAAUGUGUUCAGCUGACCAGUACUAAUAGGCCGUGUGGCUUGACC